rnacentral:lncRNA from 10 species
CUCGACUUCCUGGGCUCAAGCAAUCUGCCCACCUCAGCCUCCCGAGUAGCUAGGACUACAAGUGUGCUCCAUGACACCUAGCUAAUUUUUGUAUUUUUAGUAGAGACAGGGUUUCACCAUGUUGCCCAGGCUGGUCUCAAACUCCUGGGCUCAAGCAAACCACCCACUUCAGUCACCCAAACUGCUAGAAUGACAGGCGUGAGCCGCUGUGUCCAGCCUGUCCGUCAGUUUUUAAAUAAACAUAUAGAAAGAUAAUAAAAGAAAGUAUCCUUCAUUUAUGCCCUAAUCAGGAGUCUCAAUUUUCUCACAUGCUUUAUUAAAAUGUUCUAAAAUGUCUUUUCAAAUAUACUUCUCAACUUCAGAAUAUUCUUUUCCUAUUAACAAAAACAUAUGACCAUGUGAACACACUGUUGGAACCUCUCUGUGGGCCUUGGAUUGGCCUAUACAUGUGAUGGGCUCUGACAUGUAAAUUUCAUUCAUUUCAUGGAAAUUCUCAUCUAAAUGCUGUCACUCCAAAAUCUUGGUACAGAUAGGAGAAGUCAGGGAAAUAAAUACCUCAACCUCUCUCUAUUGCUGCUGCCUUCUAUUGGCCAAACCCAACCAGAAUUCAGAGGGUAAGGAAGAUUUAAUGAUGCAGUUUGUCUAAGGCAGCCUCCUGGGUCAUAGAGCAGGGCCAAGGAUUAAAGACCAGGUCUGGAGGGCUGAACAGAGAAUAAGAAAAGCAGUUAAUUGUCUUUGAAUAACUACUGUCUUCUAAAACUUCUAUUUUGCAGCAUUUAUGCCUUAUUUCGGCCUUCUGUGCUUGUGUUCAUAGAGAAGAAAAGCAAAAUAAAGAAUAUGAUUGGCACUUACUCACAGAAAUCACUUCCUCAAGAAGCACCUGCUAGCCUAAGAAUAGUAAACAAAGCAAGUAUCUCCUGAACAAGGAAAAACAAUGAUUCUCAUCUGUAACUACUAUCAACUAAAAUCAAAUUUUUUAAAGACUCACUACUGAGAAGUGACAGCUACUGGUGAGAAAAAAAAAUUCAACAACUAAAAAAAAACACAACAGUGUGGAUUCCCUGUUUAGUUGUCUAUAUUUCCCACUAGAUGAGCAAGCACUAUGUCUAUCUUUUUCAUUUUAAUUCCUGCUCUAGCAUAUUGCCUGGCACAUACUAGGUGCUCAAUACAUUGUAAAAUGAAAUAACACUAAAGUCUUGAGUAGCAGAGUUGAUUGUACAAAAUAAUAAAUUCAUAUUUGUCUCAGUAAUUUCUUUUGUGGAGUGAUUUUUCAAUAUAGUUAUUCUACACAUCAAAUUAUAUUAAGUUCUGACAUAUGUUUUAGGCCAACUCAAGACAAUGAAAGUAACAAGGCCAUGUAUGCAA